CCUACGGGUGGCAGCAGUGAGGAAUAUUGGUCAAUGGACGCAAGUCUGAACCAGCCAUGCCGCGUGCAGGAAGACGGCUCUAUGAGUUGUAAACUGCUUUUGUACGAGGGUAAACGCAGAUACGCGUAUCUGUCUGAAAGUAUCGUACGAAUAAGGAUCGGCUAACUCCGUGCCAGCAGCCGCGGUAAUACGGAGGAUUCAAGCGUUAUCCGGAUUUAUUGGGUUUAAAGGGUGCGUAGGCGGUCGGAUAAGUUAGAGGUGAAAUCCCGGGGCUCAACUUCGGAAUUGCCUCUGAUACUGUUCGUCUAGAGAGUAGUGGCGGUAGGCGGAAUGUAUGGUGUAGCGGUGAAAUGCUUAGAGAUCAUGCAGAACACCGAUUGCGAAGGCAGCUUACCAAGCUACUUCUGACGUUGAGGCACGAAAGCGUGGGGAGCAAACAGGAUUAGAUACCCCUGUAGUC
rnacentral:rRNA from 1 species